GUAAGGUCUGCAUUUAUUGUCCAUCCCUCACUGCCCAGAAGUCAGUGAAGAGACAACUGUGUUGCUGUGGAUUUGGAGUCACAUGUAGGCCGGAGCAGAACACUGCUUCCAAAUCCAGUAUCGUUCGCAGCAGACAGCAUCAACGCUGCUGAGCCAAGACUUUUUCAGGUUUUGUUAACAAAGAGAGGCGCUGGAGCGAGAAUUUGCAGUGAGGCAGUGAAUGCAGCAAUGGAGCGUGGCAGUCACUGGGGCCCAGCUGGCAGCCCAACAGUGAAAGAUGGCGGGAGCUACGGUCGGCGGCAGUUGGGACCGAAGCCUUGUGAGCGUAACGUGGAUUGGCGCGCCUGAUGGGAGUCAGCAGGGGUGCUCGGCUGCGAGGGGGUCUGGUACGUCAUUGCCCAGCACUGGGAAAACGUGAGCUCUCUUGGGGGAAAGCCCAGCUUGGAGUGUCGGCAGGCCCAUGGCGUAAGAAAGGGUGUGCCCAAAAUGUCUACUCCCCUGCUCCUCGAUGUUGCCUGACCUACUGUGCUUUUCCAGCACCACACUCUUGACUCUGAUCUCCAACAU